GGGGGAUUAGCUCAGCUGGGAGAGCGGCGCCUUUGCAAGGCGUAGGUCGUCGGUUCGAUCCCGACAUCCUCCA
rnacentral:tRNA from 1 species